AACGAACGCUGGCGGCAGGCUUAACACAUGCAAGUCGAACGCCCCGCAAGGGGAGUGGCAGACGGGUGAGUAACGCGUGGGAAUCUACCUAGUUCUACGGAACAACACAGGGAAACUUGUGCUAAUACCGUAUACGCCCUACGGGGGAAAGAUUUAUCGGAAUUAGAUGAGCCCGCGUUGGAUUAGCUAGUUGGUGGGGUAAUGGCCUACCAAGGCGACGAUCCAUAGCUGGUCUGAGAGGAUGAUCAGCCACACUGGGACUGAGACACGGCCCAGACUCCUACGGGAGGCAGCAGUGGGGAAUAUUGGACAAUGGGCGAAAGCCUGAUCCAGCCAUGCCGCGUGAGUGAUGAAGGCCUUAGGGUUGUAAAGCUCUUUCAGUAGGGAAGAUAAUGACGGUACCUACAGAAGAAGCCCCGGCUAACUUCGUGCCAGCCGCCGCGGUAACAC
rnacentral:rRNA from 1 species